UAUCGAAACACCUGACCCCGUAAGAUCAUUGAAGUUAAGCAAUGUUGAGCCUGGUCAAUAACUAGGUGAGAGACCGCUUGGGAAUACUAGGUGCUGUAAG